GACGAACGCGGCGGCGUGCCUAAUACAUGCAAGUCGAACGAGAGCGACCGGUGCUUGCACUGGUCAAUCUAGUGGCGAACGGGUGAGUAACACGUGGGUAACCUGCCCAUCAGAGGGGGAUAACAUUCGGAAACGGAUGCUAAAACCGCAUAGGUCCUUUAACCGCAUGGUUGAAGGAGGAAAAGAGGCGCAAGCUUCUGCUGAUGGAUGGACCCGCGGUGCAUUAGCUAGUUGGUGAGGUAACGGCUCACCAAGGCCGUGAUGCAUAGCCGACCUGAGAGGGUGAUCGGCCACAUUGGGACUGAGACACGGCCCAAACUCCUACGGGAGGCAGCAGUAGGGAAUCUUCCGCAAUGGACGCAAGUCUGACGGAGCAACGCCGCGUGAGUGAAGAAGGUUUUCGGAUCGUAAAACUCUGUUGUUAGAGAAGAACAAGUGCUAGAGUAACUGUUAGCGCCUUGACGGUAUCUAACCAGAAAGCCACGGCUAACUACGUGCCAGCAGCCGCGGUAAUACGUAGGUGGCAAGCGUUGUCCGGAUUUAUUGGGCGUAAAGCGAGCGCAGGCGGUUCCUUAAGUCUGAUGUGAAAGCCCCCGGCUCAACCGGGGAGGGUCAUUGGAAACUGGGGAACUUGAGUGCAGAAGAGGAGAGUGGAAUUCCAUGUGUAGCGGUGAAAUGCGUAGAUAUAUGGAGGAACACCAGUGGCGAAGGCGACUCUCUGGUCUGUAACUGACGCUGAGGCUCGAAAGCGUGGGUAGCAAACAGG
rnacentral:rRNA from 1 species